GAUGAACGCUGGCGGCGUGCCUAAUACAUGCAAGUCGAGCGAACAGACGAGGAGCUUGCUCCUCUGACGUUAGCGGCGGACGGGUGAGUAACACGUGGAUAACCUACCUAUAAGACUGGGAUAACUUCGGGAAACCGGAGCUAAUACCGGAUAAUAUAUUGAACCGCAUGGUUCAAUAGUGAAAAACGGUUUUGCUGUCACUUAUAGAUGGAUCCGCGCCGCAUUAGCUAGUUGGUAAGGUAACGGCUUACCAAGGCAACGAUGCGUAGCCGACCUGAGAGGGUGAUCGGCCACACUGGAACUGAGACACGGUCCAGACUCCCACGGGAGGCAGCAGUAGGGAAUCUUCCGCAAUGGGCGAAAGCCUGACGGAGCAACGCCGCGUGAGUGAUGAAGGUCUUCGGAUCGUAAAACUCUGUUAUUAGGGAAGAACAAAUGUGUAAGUAACUAUGCACGUCUUGACGGUACCUAAUCAGAAAGCCACGGCUAACUACGUG
rnacentral:rRNA from 1 species